rnacentral:rRNA from 1 species
UACGGGGGGGGCAAGCGUUGUUCGGAAUUACUGGGCGUAAAGGGCUCGUAGGCGGCCAACUAAGUCCGACGUGAAAUCCCCAGGCUUAACCUGGGAACUGCGUCGGAUACUGGAUGGCUUGAAUUCGGGAGAGGGAUGCAGAAUUCCAGGUGUAGCGGUGAAAUGCGUAGAUAUCUGGAGGAAUACCGGUGGCGAAGGCGGCAUCCUGGACCGACAUUGACGCUGAGGCACGAAGGUCAGGGGAGCAAACGGG